rnacentral:rRNA from 1 species
GACGAACGCUGGCGGCGUGCUUAACACAUGCAAGUCGAACGGAAAGGCCCUGCUUGCAGGGUGCUCGAGUGGCGAACGGGUGAGUAACACGUGGGUGAUCUGCCCCUUACUUUGGGAUAAGCCUGGGAAACUGGGUUUAAUACUGGAUAGGACCAUGCUGUAGGUGGUGUGGUGGAAAGAUUAGUUUCGGUAAGGGAUGAGCUCGCGGCCUAUCAGCUUGUUGGUGGGGUAAUGGCCUACCAAGGCGUCGACGGGUAGCCGGCCUGAGAGGGUGGACGGCCACAUUGGGACUGAGAUACGGCCCAGACUCCUACGGGAGGCAGCAGUGGGGAAUAUUGCACAAUGGGCGCAAGCCUGAUGCAGCGACGCCGCGUGGGGGAUGACGGCCUUCGGGUUGUAAACUCCUUUCAGCCAUGACGAAGCCCUUGUGGUGACGGUAGUGGUAGAAGAAGCACCGGCUAACUACGUG